rnacentral:rRNA from 9 species
GGUUAAGCGACUAAGCGUACACGGUGGAUGCCCUGGCAGUCAGAGGCGAUGAAGGACGUGCUAAUCUGCGAUAAGCGUCGGUAAGGUGAUAUGAACCGUUAUAACCGGCGAUUUCCGAAUGGGGAAACCCAGUGUGAUUCGUCACACUAUCAUUAACUGAAUCCAUAGGUUAAUGAGGCGAACCGGGGGAACUGAAACAUCUAAGUACCCCGAGGAAAAGAAAUCAACCGAGAUUCCCCCAGUAGCGGCGAGCGAACGGGGAGCAGCCCAGAGCCUGAAUCAGUGUGUGUGUUAGUGGAAGCGUCUGGAAAGGCGCGCGAUACAGGGUGACAGCCCCGUACACAAAAAUGCACAUACUGUGAGCUCGAUGAGUAGGGCGGGACACGUGGUAUCCUGUCUGAAUAUGGGGGGACCAUCCUCCAAGGCUAAAUACUCCUGACUGACCGAUAGUGAACCAGUACCGUGAGGGAAAGGCGAAAAGAACCCCGGCGAGGGGAGUGAAAAAGAACCUGAAACCGUGUACGUACAAGCAGUGGGAGCCUCUUUUAUGGGGUGACUGCGUACCUUUUGUAUAAUGGGUCAGCGACUUAUAUUCUGUAGCAAGGUUAACCGAAUAGGGGAGCCGAAGGGAAACCGAGUCUUAACCGGGCGUUAAGUUGCAGGGUAUAGACCCGAAACCCGGUGAUCUAGCCAUGGGCAGGUUGAAGGUUGGGUAACACUAACUGGAGGACCGAACCGACUAAUGUUGAAAAAUUAGCGGAUGACUUGUGGCUGGGGGUGAAAGGCCAAUCAAACCGGGAGAUAGCUGGUUCUCCCCGAAAGCUAUUUAGGUAGCGCCUCGUGAAUUCAUCUCCGGGGGUAGAGCACUGUUUCGGCAAGGGGGUCAUCCCGACUUACCAACCCGAUGCAAACUGCGAAUACCGGAGAAUGUUAUCACGGGAGACACACGGCGGGUGCUAACGUCCGUCGUGAAGAGGGAAACAACCCAGACCGCCAGCUAAGGUCCCAAAGUCAUGGUUAAGUGGGAAACGAUGUGGGAAGGCCCAGACAGCCAGGAUGUUGGCUUAGAAGCAGCCAUCAUUUAAAGAAAGCGUAAUAGCUCACUGGUCGAGUCGGCCUGCGCGGAAGAUGUAACGGGGCUAAACCAUGCACCGAAGCUGCGGCAGCGACACUGUGUGUUGUUGGGUAGGGGAGCGUUCUGUAAGCCUGUGAAGGUGUACUGUGAGGUAUGCUGGAGGUAUCAGAAGUGCGAAUGCUGACAUAAGUAACGAUAAAGCGGGUGAAAAGCCCGCUCGCCGGAAGACCAAGGGUUCCUGUCCAACGUUAAUCGGGGCAGGGUGAGUCGACCCCUAAGGCGAGGCCGAAAGGCGUAGUCGAUGGGAAACAGGUUAAUAUUCCUGUACUUGGUGUUACUGCGAAGGGGGGACGGAGAAGGCUAUGUUGGCCGGGCGACGGUUGUCCCGGUUUAAGCGUGUAGGCUGGUUUUCCAGGCAAAUCCGGAAAAUCAAGGCUGAGGCGUGAUGACGAGGCACUACGGUGCUGAAGCAACAAAUGCCCUGCUUCCAGGAAAAGCCUCUAAGCAUCAGGUAACAUCAAAUCGUACCCCAAACCGACACAGGUGGUCAGGUAGAGAAUACCAAGGCGCUUGAGAGAACUCGGGUGAAGGAACUAGGCAAAAUGGUGCCGUAACUUCGGGAGAAGGCACGCUGAUAUGUAGGUGAAGUCCCUCGCGGAUGGAGCUGAAAUCAGUCGAAGAUACCAGCUGGCUGCAACUGUUUAUUAAAAACACAGCACUGUGCAAACACGAAAGUGGACGUAUACGGUGUGACGCCUGCCCGGUGCCGGAAGGUUAAUUGAUGGGGUCAGCGCAAGCGAAGCUCUUGAUCGAAGCCCCGGUAAACGGCGGCCGUAACUAUAACGGUCCUAAGGUAGCGAAAUUCCUUGUCGGGUAAGUUCCGACCUGCACGAAUGGCGUAAUGAUGGCCAGGCUGUCUCCACCCGAGACUCAGUGAAAUUGAACUCGCUGUGAAGAUGCAGUGUACCCGCGGCAAGACGGAAAGACCCCGUGAACCUUUACUAUAGCUUGACACUGAACAUUGAGCCUUGAUGUGUAGGAUAGGUGGGAGGCUUUGAAGUGUGGACGCCAGUCUGCAUGGAGCCGACCUUGAAAUACCACCCUUUAAUGUUUGAUGUUCUAACGUGGACCCGUGAUCCGGGUUGCGGACAGUGUCUGGUGGGUAGUUUGACUGGGGCGGUCUCCUCCUAAAGAGUAACGGAGGAGCACGAAGGUUGGCUAAUCCUGGUCGGACAUCAGGAGGUUAGUGCAAUGGCAUAAGCCAGCUUGACUGCGAGCGUGACGGCGCGAGCAGGUGCGAAAGCAGGUCAUAGUGAUCCGGUGGUUCUGAAUGGAAGGGCCAUCGCUCAACGGAUAAAAGGUACUCCGGGGAUAACAGGCUGAUACCGCCCAAGAGUUCAUAUCGACGGCGGUGUUUGGCACCUCGAUGUCGGCUCAUCACAUCCUGGGGCUGAAGUAGGUCCCAAGGGUAUGGCUGUUCGCCAUUUAAAGUGGUACGCGAGCUGGGUUUAGAACGUCGUGAGACAGUUCGGUCCCUAUCUGCCGUGGGCGCUGGAGAACUGAGGGGGGCUGCUCCUAGUACGAGAGGACCGGAGUGGACGCAUCACUGGUGUUCGGGUUGUCAUGCCAAUGGCACUGCCCGGUAGCUAAAUGCGGAAGAGAUAAGUGCUGAAAGCAUCUAAGCACGAAACUUGCCCCGAGAUGAGUUCUCCCUGACCCUUUAAGGGUCCUGAAGGAACGUUGAAGACGACGACGUUGAUAGGCCGGGUGUGUAAGCGCAGCGAUGCGUUGAGCUAACCGGUACUAAUGAACCGUGAGGCUUAACCUU